GUCUAAGUAUACACAGCCAGUACAGUGAAACUGCAAAUAGUUCAUUACAUCAGUUAUGGUUCCUUUGCUCAUUCCAACAAUUACUUGGAUAACUGUGGCAAUUGUAGCGCUAAUACAUGGGGGCAAGCACUGACCUCCAGGGACGUGUCCACUGAUCAGAUGAUGCAUACUAUGAUAAUGGGGAAAUGUUGCCUUAUACAUAGAGAAUAAUGGGUAAAACUCCAUUAUUGAGUUAUACCUAUUUGGAUGCAGACUGCUUACAGAA
rnacentral:ncRNA from 1 species